CUGGAAGGAAAAAAGACGAUGCUAGACAUGGAUCUCAUCGCUGGAUGCAAUAACGAGGACGAUGAAAAAUCCUUCAAUCCUCACAGGAAUCAUUACUGGGAUGCUAUGAGAGACGCUUUUCCCACCACCCGCAGCAUAACAGCAGUGACAGGCCUAAAGAAAGGAAAUGAUGAAGACAUGCAUGCUUUCCUGAAAAGAAGUGAAGGCGUCUGGUUAGACAGCACUGGAGAAAGACAUGACAUCGCUCCAUCAUGUACCAUGUUGUGGAGACAUGCAGUGAUAAAGGCCCUAUCUACUCAUGUCCAAAACUGUCUGAAGAGUGUGGUGGGACUAGACUCAAUGCCUAAUGCACUUUGGAGAGAGCACCUUGUGCAUCAUGACGAGCAACACAGGCAGACAGAAGUGCAGAAGGAAGAAGAACAUCUGACAAUCACCAGAAGAUUGGCAAAGGCUCAAAUGGCUGAGAAAGACACUGAGGCUUCAAGAAAUAAGAAAGAUAAGAGACAGAUGUUAAUGGGACAGUACGAUAUUGGAGAAUUCCCAGAAACAACAAUACAGACUCAUACACAACAACAAGUUCCUCAGAAUGGACCUCCAUGGCAAGUACCAAACAGAGGAGCAUGGGGAGGGGGUAACAACCGCUACAGAAAUUAUGAAAGAGCUCCGCCACAGGGAUGCUUUAAUUGUGGAAGCGCAUCUCACUGGGUCAAAGAUUGCCACCAGUAUGGGCAACAAGGAGGAGGAAACCCCUACCAAGGAGGAGGAAACCCCUACCAAGGAGGAGGAAACUCCUAUCAAGAAAGAGGAGGAUUCCCUAACAGUAGAGGAGGAGGACAUCCCACCUAUGGAAGAGGAGGAAGAGGACAGCAAGGUCCUGCAGGAGGGAGAGGACAGCAAAGUUUUGGUAGAGGAAGAGGAAGAAAUCCUCCCAACACUCACCAAAUGCCACUCUCUGCAUGGGAACAUUCCCAGGAAUGGGAUGGUUCCUCACAAUGAAGAUGCCCAGAGGAUCCAACUACAGGUGAAGCUAUUCCAGUUCAGAAUGAACCAAUGGUCACCUGUACGAUAGAAGGAGAAAAAAUGGAACUGAUGGUGGACACAGGAGCAACAGCGUCCUGUAUAACUUCCUUGAAAGGAAAAACACCACCUCUCUCUACAAAGACCCUUCGAACCGUUGGAUACUCGGGAAGAACAGAAGAACAAAAGUAUACCAUACCAUUGGUCACUGUACUUGGUAAACAAUCCCUGCUUCACCCUUUCCUCUUCUCCCCAAAGUGUCCUGUAAACCUGAUGGGUAGAGACCUGCUGGUUAAAACUGGAGCACGAAUUCUAUGU
rnacentral:lncRNA from 1 species